AAUCAACGCUGGCGGCGUGCCUAACACAUGCAAGUCGAACGCGAAAGCCCCGAAAGGGGCAAGUAGAGUGGCAAACGGGUGAGUAACACGUGGGUGACCUGCCUUCGAGUGGGGGAUAACGUCCCGAAAGGGACGCUAAUACCGCAUAACAUGCUGCCUUUUAAGAGGCGGACAUCAAAGCUGGGGAUCGCAAGACCUAGCGCUGGAAGAGGGGCCCGCGUCCGAUUAGCUAGNGGUGAGGUAAUGGCUCACCAAGGCAACGAUCGGUAGCCGGCCUGAGAGGGCGGACGGCCACACUGGGACUGAGACACGGCCCAGACUCCUACGGAGGCAGCAGUGGGGAAUUGUUCGCAAUGGGCGCAAGCCUGACGACGCAACGCCGCGUGGAGGA
rnacentral:rRNA from 1 species